rnacentral:rRNA from 1 species
UACGGGGGGGGCAAGCGUUGUUCGGAAUUACUGGGCGUAAAGGGCUCGUAGGCGGCCAACUAAGUCAGACGUGAAAUCCCUCGGCUUAACCGGGGAACUGCGUCUGAUACUGGAUGGCUUGAGUUUGGGAGAGGGAUGCGGAAUUCCAGGUGUAGCGGUGAAAUGCGUAGAUAUCUGGAGGAACACCGGUGGCGAAGGCGGCAUCCUGGACCAAUACUGACGCUGAGGAGCGAAAGCCAGGGAGCAAAGCGGG